AAGGUGUAAAGACAUGAUUCAGACGUCUUUUUAUAAUAAAUAUCGAUUGGUGCAGCCGUAAUGUUGUAGCUGUCUAUCAAACUGUUAAGGUCUCCCAAGUAUCAAGUGACUAGCAUGCAUAGGUACAAUAUCACAAUAUACCUCAUCGUGAUAUUUUCUAAUGAAGAAUGGUACAAUAACUUGCUCGGUAACUUGAGUUUCACCACACUCAUUCAACCAUCGUAAUUGGUGGGGAUUUGGAUGUUUGAUGCAUGUUAAUCCUAUUCUUUCCACGAAUAGAGUGCUUGCAAUAUUAGGUUAGCUUGAAUGCACUAUU
rnacentral:lncRNA from 1 species